rnacentral:tRNA from 1 species
GCUGGUGUGGCUCAGUGGAUAGAGCGUCGGCCUGUGGACUCGGGGGUUCCAGGUUCGAUUCCGGUCAAGGGCA